GAGUGAAAGAGAACCUGAAACCGUAUGUCUACAAACAGUCGAAGUCUGUAUAUAUAUCAGGACGACGGCGUGCCUAUUGAAGAAUGAACCGACGAGUUACUGUUGCUAGCGAGGUUAAGUGGAAAACAUGGAGCCGCAGCGAAAGCGAGUCUGAACAGGGCGUUCAGUUAGUGAUAGUAGACCCGAAACCGUAGUGAUCUAUCCAUGGCCAGGUUGAAGCACAGGUAAAAUUGUGUGGAGGACCGAACUCGUGAGCGUUGAAAAGCUUUGGGAUGAGUUGUGGAUNNNNNNNNNNAUGCCAAUCGAACACGGAGAUAGCUGGGUCUCCCCGAAAUAGCUUUAGGGCUAGCCUCGAGGUUGAGAGUAUAGGCGGUAGAGCACUGAUCGGGCUAGGGGCCAUACCGGUUACCGAACCUAGUCAAACUACGAAUGGCUAUACUUAUACUCGGGAGUCAGACAGUGAAUGAUAAGGUCCAUUGUCAAGAGGGAAACAGCCCAGAACACCGACUAAGGUCCCCAAUGUCAUACUAAGUGGCGAAGGAUGUGGAAUUUCCAAAACAACCAGGAUGUUGGCUUAGAAGCAGCCACCAUU
rnacentral:rRNA from 1 species